AUGGGAAUUUCUUCUUUGAAAAUGUGUAUUUAUGAAAGAAAAAUGAAAAAGUUUAAAAGGUUCACCAAAGACUUAUACAUGAAUGUUUAUCAUAACUUUAAUCAUGAUGGCCCCAAACUGAAAACAACCCAAAUGCUUAUCAACAAAUGAAUGAACAAAUUGUACAUCCAGAUAUUCUGUAUCCUGAUUGAGGAAGUAGUUUCAUGGUUCUGGACAUUUGUUAAAAACCCAUUGAACUAUACAUUUUAAAAACGGGGCAUUUUAUUGUAUGUACAUUGUUUUUCAAUAAAGUUGAUUUUAAAAGUAAAAAGUGUAAUUUUUAUAUCUGUUUUUGACAAGUUGAAAAUUCUAGGGAGUAACUGACAUCUAUCAGUACCUUAAUCUGUAGUUUGGUGUGUAAAGUCUGUUAACCCAAACCAAUGAAGAAAAAAUUUUUGAAAAUAUUCUUUCCAAUAAGCUUAGUUAUACUUAAUAAGCACAUCAACUGAUACAUAUAAAUGAAAUAUCAGUGUAAUUUUUAUGUUAAAAUAUUACUCAUUAAAUCAUAUGCAUGGCAUUCCCUCUAGUGUGUUCUUGCUUUGAUGAUAUGCUUAGCUGCUAAAUUCAGGGAAAGAUAGUCAGUCUCUCCUUAUUGAGAUUAUUAUCUGAAAACUUCAAAGCUUCCUGUUCCUAUUUUUUUCAUUGCAGGCUCAUUAUAUAUUCUAUCCAAAUUUCCCUUCAUAGUGAAUACAACAGUUUUUACUUGGAUAAUAUUAAUGCUUCAGAUUUGGAAGACAAGGAACAAACUAAUCAUAUUUAUUUUCUUCUUUUCUAAACUCUAUGAGAAAUUGUCAGUUACGAAAAGCAAAAUUUAAAAUGUAUUUACUAGUUAUAUUUAACAGAGCACAAAAGUUAGAAAUUGACCACCUAGAAAAGAACAAAUGACUCAUUUAGAGAAGCGUUGACAAGAAACUCUGUAUGAGAAAGACAAAUCAUGAGAAGACACAGUUUUUCUUUUUAAUGUGACUUUUAAAGGUUAACUGCACUUAGUUCAUCUUGGUAAAAAUUCAAGACUCUAUUAGCCAUAAAUACAACCAACUUAAAAAAAUAAAAUCCAUUCUCCUUUUCCGGUCUCUAUAAUCAUUUCUUCUUAAUAAUGAGUUUUAAAACUUAAAACACCUGUUGUAUACAUUAAUGCUUUAUCUUAAUUGUUUUUUUUUAAAAAAACAACUCAUUUUGGAUUUAAAUCUAGCUUUCUCCAAAGAAUAUGAAAUUACCAUGAAGCAUUUUGUUUGUUCUGAAAGGGCAAUGAAGUUUUAAUAUGUGGAUUAUAUUUAUGAAUUAAGAAGAAGCAGCAGCAGCAAGCCCUGAAUCAUUCUAGAACUCAGCAGGUUGGCAGGAACUGACAGAAGAUUUGAGACAUUAUCUGUAAUAUAUAGAGCAGAUUAAGCAGUU
rnacentral:lncRNA from 1 species